UACGAAGGGGGCUAGCGUUGUUCGGAAUUACUGGGCGUAAAGCGCACGUAGGCGGACAUUUAAGUCAGGGGUGAAAUCCCAGAGCUCAACUCUGGAACUGCCUUUGAUACUGGGUGUCUGGAGUAUGGAAGAGGUGAGUGGAAUUCCGAGUGUAGAGGUGAAAUUCGUAGAUAUUCGGAGGAACACCGGUGGCGAAGGCGGCAUUCUGGACCGACAUUGACGCUGAGGAGCGAAAGCCAGGGGAGCAAACGGG
rnacentral:rRNA from 1 species